CUUUGAUUACUGCAGCCCUCUCUGGGACAACUGUGGAAUAGGCCUCAAGGACAGGUUGCAGAAAUUUCAAAAUCGGGCUGCAAGAGUAAUUGCUGGUGCAACUUACGAUGUUCGGUCAGUUGAGUUACUCGAAUGUCUGGGUUGGAAACACCUAGAAUUAAGGCAUUAUCUAAAAUCUGUUUUUAUGUAUAAAAUUCUGAAUAACCACACCGCGCCAAAUCUAAGAACAUCCUUUCGAUUGAUUAAUGAAUGUGAUAAUACCUAUGAUCUUAGAAAUAAAGAAACCGAUUUGUCUCUUCCUACACCGAAUACCGAUUCUGGUAAAAGAUGCUUCAAGUAUAACGGAGCGGUAGUAUGGAGUAAUUUCCCGUAUGGGGUAAAAGUAGCGGAAUCUUUACGUUCUUUUCAAAGAACUAUUAACCAGCCAAACACUUAAAAUUGGCUCGUCCUGUUGCCUAUACUGUACAUAGUAAUUCUUCUUUCUUUUUUUUUGUAUUUUUGUAUAAUCUAGCAAUGUUUAUCUGUAUUUCUUUCUAAAUUCACGCCCCUCAUGGAAAUCAGCUCUGAGUUGUUG